rnacentral:rRNA from 1 species
UACGUAGGGUGCAAGCGUUGUCCGGAAUUAUUGGGCGUAAAGAGCUCGUAGGCGGUCUGUCGCGUCCGUUGUGAAAACUCGAGGCUCAACCUCGGGCUUGCAGUGGAUACGGGCAGACUAGAGUGCGGUAGGGGAGACUGGAAUUCCUGGUGUAGCGGUGGAAUGCGCAGAUAUCAGGAGGAACACCGAUGGCGAAGGCAGGUCUCGUGGGCCAUUACUGACACUGAGAAGCGAAAGCAUGGGGAGCGAACAGG